rnacentral:rRNA from 1 species
GAUGAACGCUGGCGGCGUGCCUAAUACAUGCAAGUCGAGCGAACAGAUGAGGAGCUUGCUCCUCUGACGUUAGCGGCGGACGGGUGAGUAACACGUGGAUAACCUACCUAUAAGACUGGGAUAACUUCGGGAAACCGGAGCUAAUACCGGAUAAUAUAUUGAACCGCAUGGUUCAAUAGUGAAAGACGGUUUUGCUGUCACUUAUAGAUGGAUCCGCGCCGCAUUAGCUAGUUGGUAAGGUAACGGCUUACCAAGGCAACGAUGCGUAGCCGACCUGAGAGGGUGAUCGGCCACACUGGAACUGAGACACGGUCCAGGCUCCUACGGGAGGCAGCAGUAGGGAAUCUUCCGCAAUGGGCGAAAGCCUGACGGAGCAACGCCGCGUGAGUGAUGAAGGUCUUCGGAUCGUAAAACUCUGUUAUUAGGGAAGAACAAAUGUGUAAGUAACUAUGCACGUCUUGACGGUACCUAAUCAGAAAGCCACGGCUAACUACGU